GAAGUACUCCCUCCGUUCGGAAUUACUUGUCGCGGAAAUGGAUGUAUCUAGAUGUAUUUUAGUUCUAGAUACAUCCAUUUCCGAGACAAGUAAUUCUGAAUGGAGGGAGUAAUAA
rnacentral:pre_miRNA from 1 species